rnacentral:rRNA from 1 species
UACGAAGGGGGCUAGCGUUGUUCGAAAUUACUGGGCGUAAAGCGCACGUAGGCGGAUCCUUAAGUCAGGGGUGAAAUCCUGGAGCUCAACUCCAGAACUGCCUUUGAUACUGAGGAUCUUGAGUUCGGGAGAGGUGAGUGGAACUGCGAGUGUAGAGGUGAAAUUCGUAGAUAUUCGCAAGAACACCAGUGGCGAAGGCGGCUCACUGGCCCGAUACUGACGCUGAGGCACGAAAGCGUGGGGAGCAAACAGG